UUGAAUAAAUUGGCUUAGGUUGCUGCUGGCUCUUCGGAGCAUGUGCACAUCUAUUCCAUUUUUUUGAAACCCCCUGUGCACUCUUUGUAGACCUGGACAAUUUUCAAGAAAAUCUUUUUCUUGGUUCGAGGAUUGCUGUGUGAAAGCCGGCUUUCUUUGCGUUUCAGUGUCUAUGUUUUACAUACACCAUAUAAAAAUGUAUUAGAAUGUUAUAAACUGGCCAUUUGUGCCUUUAAAACCAAAUACAACUUUCAACAACGGAUCUCUUGGCUCUCGCAUCGAUGAAGAACGCAGCGAAAUGCGAUAAGUAAUGUGAAUUGCAGAAUUCAGUGAAUCAUCGAAUCUUUGAACGCACCUUGCGCUCUUUGGUAUUCCAAGGAGCAUGCCUGUUUGAGUGUCAUGUAAUUCUCAACCUUUUCUGGCUUGUUAUAAGCUGGUUCAGGCUUGGACUAUGGAAGGUUGCUGGCUUCAUAGAGGUCAGCUCUUCUGAAAUACAUUAGCAAGAUUAUUGCUGCUCAUCUUUAAUAUGAUAAUUAUCUGUAUUAUUGAAGAGUCAGUCUCCUUUAUUGGAAAGUCUUGCUUCAAAUAGUCUCUUUCGAGACAAUACUUGACAAUU
rnacentral:misc_RNA from 1 species